UGGUCUUCAAUGAGGAAAUACCAAAUGGUU
rnacentral:piRNA from 1 species